ACGUAGGGGGCAAGCGUUGUCCGGAUUUACUGGGCGUAAAGGGCGCGCAGGCGGCUUUGUAAGUCAGAGGUGAAAUCUCACGGCUUAACUGUGAAACUGCCUUUGAUACUGCAAGUCUAGAGUAUGGAAGAGAGAGAUGGAAUGCCUGGUGUAGCAGUGAAAUGCGUAGAUAUCAGGUAGAACACCAGUGGCGAAGGCGGUCUCCUGGUCCAUUACUGACGCUGAGGCACGAAAGCGUGGGUAGCAAACAG
rnacentral:rRNA from 1 species